UAACUACUCUGUCAGGCGCUGAAGCCAAGCACAGGUGAAGAAUUGCUGAUUGACCCACUAUAGUACUUGGGGCUCUUCCUCCCUGGGAGAAAAUCCUGGAACAAUCAUUUCAAGCUCCAGAUUUGCACAGCAGGUCCAAGAUCCUGGCUUCAGGCAGCAGCUCGCUGCUCAGUCUUAUAUCACACAAAAGAGCUUUGCCCAGGCGCGUCGCCCGCUCUUUUCAUCCAAUCCUCUCCUGACAGGCAGUCUGGAAAGAAAGCGUACUCAUAUUGAUUCCGAAGGCACAAUUGGAACUCCGGCAUUUUCUUCUGGGCUCAGGGGUCGAGACGAAGGGGUUGGCAGUGCUGGCUGGGAAGCAAAGGAACAGCAGACACACAGGAGCUGAAGUGACAGUAAAUGAAGCUGUGGUCUUCAGGCUUAGGUGGAGUCGGGCGGGCGUUCUGCGCAUCUGUACCUCCGACAAAUGGAUUUGGUCCUCAGUUCCAGCCAUCAUCUGAUUUCAAGUUUGGUUACCUAGGAAACAGAGGGCACACUGCUGGGACAGUCAGCCCGUGUUCUGUGCCGACCAAAGCUAUUAAAACCCAUCAAGUCAGCCUCGGAGAAGCUGAGCACGGACAGUUUCAACUUCCAGCCAGGACUCCUCAGGCUCCACUUGAUGUUUGGCUGUGGACCUCUGCAUCUGUUUCCAUCCACUGCUGGAUGAAGCCUCUCAGGAGACAGUUAUGCUAAGAUCUUGUCUGCAAGCAUCCCCACCCUGUCCUUUGCAAACGAAGAGAAGAUGAGCAGAAACUUAAAGCUGUCAGACUUGGUUACCUGCUACCAGCUCCGCUGCAGACCAGGUCCAUGGUCUAUCUAGUCUCAGAUGUUUGGCCACCCAAGCAGUGUCAGAGGCCUGCUGAUUUUCUAAGGAGAGAGAAAAAUUGUGGAUCCAGAUUGGAGUGGGAGAGGGGGGAAACUUGGAGGAGCUGGGGGAGGGGAAACCAUAAUCAGAGUAUAUUGUAUGAAAAAAAAUCUAUUUUCAACAAAAGAAAAAAAGAACUUAUCUUCCAUCCUAUGAUUUCUCCUGGUUGUGCAUACAAUGAUAUUUAAUAAAAAUCCAUGUCGUAAAUGAGCUAAAUACCUAAUAAAAAUGGAAAAAAAAUAAAAAUCCAUGUCAAAUAAAGUGAAUGGAAUAUUCUGUGUCAUAUUUAGUUGGAAUUUCCCCUGUCUAAGUAGAGCAU